AAUGAACGCUGGCGGCGUGCUUAACACAUGCAAGUCGCACGAGAACGCUUUAGCUUGCUAAAGCAAGUAAAGUGGCGCACGGGUGAGUAACGCGUAAGUAAUCUACCCCUGUAUUCGGAAUACCCCACCGAAAGGUGAGCUAAUACCGGAUACGUUUAUCUUGAUGCGAAUGAUGAUAAAGAAAGGUGGCCUCUUCUUGAAAGCUACUGUACAGGGACGAGCUUGCGUACCAUUAGCUAGUUGGUAGGGUAAUGGCCUACCAAGGCGACGAUGGUUAGCGGGUCUGAGAGGAUGAUCCGCCACACUGGAACUGGAACACGGACCAGACUCCUACGGGUGGCAG
rnacentral:rRNA from 1 species